GGUUAAGCGACUAAGCGUACACGGUGGAUGCCCUGGCAGUCAGAGGCGAUGAAGGACGUGCUAAUCUGCGAAAAGCGCCGGCGAGGUGAUAUGAACCCUUGACCCGGCGAUGUCCGAAUGGGGAAACCCAGUGUGAUUCGUCACACUAUCGUUAACUGAAUACAUAGGUUAACGAGGCGAACCGGGGGAACUGAAACAUCUAAGUACCCCGAGGAAAAGAAAUCAACCGAGAUUCCCCCAGUAGCGGCGAGCGAACGGGGAGCAGCCCAGAGUCUGAAUCAGCUUGUGUGUUAGUGGAAGCGUCUGGAAAGUCGCACGGUACAGGGUGAAAGUCCCGUACACGAAAAUGCACAGGUUGUGAACUCGAAGAGUAGGGCGGGACACGUGGUAUCCUGUCUGAAUAUGGGGGGGACCAUCCUCCAAGGCUAAAUACUCCUGACUGACCGAUAGUGAACCAGUACCGUGAGGGAAAGGCGAAAAGAACCCCGGCGAGGGGAGUGAAAAAGAACCUGAAACCGUGUACGUACAAGCAGUGGGAGCACCUUCGGGUGUGACUGCGUACCUUUUGUAUAAUGGGUCAGCGACUUAUAUUCUGUAGCAAGGUUAACCGUAUAGGGGAGCCGAAGGGAAACCGAGUCUUAACUGGGCGUUAAGUUGCAGGGUAUAGACCCGAAACCCGGUGAUCUAGCCAUGGGCAGGUUGAAGGUUGGGUAACACUAACUGGAGGACCGAACCGACUAAUGUUGAAAAAUUAGCGGAUGACUUGUGGCUGGGGGUGAAAGGCCAAUCAAACCGGGAGAUAGCUGGUUCUCCCCGAAAGCUAUUUAGGUAGCGCCUCGUGAAUUCAUCUUCGGGGGUAGAGCACUGUUUCGGCUAGGGGGCCAUCCCGGCUUACCAACCCGAUGCAAACUACGAAUACCGAAGAAUGUUAUCACGGGAGACACACGGCGGGUGCUAACGUCCGUCGUGAAGAGGGAAACAACCCAGACCGCCAGCUAAGGUCCCAAAGUCAUGGUUAAGUGGGAAACGAUGUGGGAAGGCCCAGACAGCCAGGAUGUUGGCUUAGAAGCAGCCAUCAUUUAAAGAAAGCGUAAUAGCUCACUGGUCGAGUCGGCCUGCGCGGAAGAUGUAACGGGGCUAAACCAUGCACCGAAGCUGCGGCAGCGACACUAUGUGUUGUUGGGUAGGGGAGCGUUCUGUAAGCCGUUGAAGGUGGCCUGUGAGGGUUGCUGGAGGUAUCAGAAGUGCGAAUGCUGACAUAAGUAACGAUAAAGCGGGUGAAAAGCCCGCUCGCCGGAAGACCAAGGGUUCCUGUCCAACGUUAAUCGGGGCAGGGUGAGUCGACCCCUAAGGCGAGGCCGAAAGGCGUAGUCGAUGGGAAACAGGUUAAUAUUCCUGUACUUGGUGUUACUGCGAAGGGGGGACGGAGAAGGCUAUGUUAGCCGGGCGACGGUUGUCCCGGUUUAAGCAUGUAGGCGGAGGUUCCAGGUAAAUCCGGUACCUUUUUAACGCUGAGGUGUGAUGACGAGGCACUACGGUGCUGAAGUAACAAAUGCCCUGCUUCCAGGAAAAGCCUCUAAGCAUCAGGUAACACGAAAUCGUACCCCAAACCGACACAGGUGGUCAGGUAGAGAAUACCAAGGCGCUUGAGAGAACUCGGGUGAAGGAACUAGGCAAAAUGGUGCCGUAACUUCGGGAGAAGGCACGCUGAUAUGUAGGUGAAGCCCCUGCGGGUGGAGCUGAAAUCAGUCGAAGAUACCAGCUGGCUGCAACUGUUUAUUAAAAACACAGCACUGUGCAAACACGAAAGUGGACGUAUACGGUGUGACGCCUGCCCGGUGCCGGAAGGUUAAUUGAUGGGGUUAGCGGUAACGCGAAGCUCUUGAUCGAAGCCCCGGUAAACGGCGGCCGUAACUAUAACGGUCCUAAGGUAGCGAAAUUCCUUGUCGGGUAAGUUCCGACCUGCACGAAUGGCGUAAUGAUGGCCAGGCUGUCUCCACCCGAGACUCAGUGAAAUUGAACUCGCUGUGAAGAUGCAGUGUACCCGCGGCAAGACGGAAAGACCCCGUGAACCUUUACUAUAGCUUGACACUGAACACUGGUCCUUGAUGUGUAGGAUAGGUGGGAGGCUUUGAAGCGUGGACGCCAGUCUGCGUGGAGCCAACCUUGAAAUACCACCCUUUAAUGGCUGGUGUUCUAACGUAGACCCGUGAUCCGGGUUGCGGACAGUGUCUGGUGGGUAGUUUGACUGGGGCGGUCUCCUCCCAAAGAGUAACGGAGGAGCACGAAGGUUAGCUAAUCCUGGUCGGACAUCAGGAGGUUAGUGCAAUGGCAUAAGCUAGCUUGACUGCGAGAGUGACGGCUCGAGCAGGUGCGAAAGCAGGUCAUAGUGAUCCGGUGGUUCUGAAUGGAAGGGCCAUCGCUCAACGGAUAAAAGGUACUCCGGGGAUAACAGGCUGAUACCGCCCAAGAGUUCAUAUCGACGGCGGUGUUUGGCACCUCGAUGUCGGCUCAUCACAUCCUGGGGCUGAAGUAGGUCCCAAGGGUAUGGCUGUUCGCCAUUUAAAGUGGUACGCGAGCUGGGUUUAGAACGUCGUGAGACAGUUCGGUCCCUAUCUGCCGUGGGCGCUGGAGAAUUGAGGGGGGCUGCUCCUAGUACGAGAGGACCGGAGUGGACGCAUCACUGGUGUUCGGGUUGUCAUGCCAAUGGCACUGCCCGGUAGCUAAAUGCGGAAGAGAUAAGUGCUGAAAGCAUCUAAGCACGAAACUUGCCCCGAGAUGAGUUCUCCCUGAGACUUAAAGUCUCCUGAAGGAACGUUGAAGACGACGACGUUGAUAGGUCGGGUGUGUAAGCGCAGCGAUGCGUUGAGCUAACCGAUACUAAUGAACCGUGAGGCUUAACCUU
rnacentral:rRNA from 1 species